CACCGAAAGAGGAGACUUUGUUGCUUACGAAAAUCGAACCAGAUAUCAAAUAUUUAGUCUUGCAGCAUCAACCUCAAGGAUCUCAUUAAUCACUAGUAAAGGUAAUUUCAAUUUACUUUAUUGUUUUCGCAUUAAACUUUAUAAAGUUAAAAACAUUAUAAACAUGCAUUAAGUAGAAAUAAAAAGAUAAAUGUACGUACAUUGAUUUUUUUAAAAACACCCUCCUUUCUAAAAAAUAUUCUGCACUUGCCCGAAAACUGGUGGGUGGUAAGGACAUUUUUUCAACCAAAAAGAUGCAUUAGUGGGCGGUAGGUAGAAAAAGGUUGACUACCACUGGGCUAGACAGACAUCAUUAAAUUCACAUUUCUUUAAUUUAUAUGCUUUGCAUACAUUUUAUACUGCCAUGUAGUGUCAAUGCACUAUUGAAUAAAAAAUUGAAAAUCACCUAUACCAUGUUAUAACCUUUUUUUUUCAAUCCAGUUCAUUCCUGGCAUAUCUAUGUCGCACACUGGUUUUGGGAGGACAAACAGAAAUAUUGUUUGUAUUUUUCUACCUUACACAUGUACAAUGAGAGAAACACAUUAUGAAGCUCUCAAUUAACCGUACAGCUGUAAAAAAGUUACAAAUAAAUUGACAGACAAAGAACAUUGCUUCAAUUGAAAUGUUCUGAGGGCAAGCCUUGCGUGUUAGGGGUUACAGUGUAAAGUGGUAAUUGGUGCUCCAAUUUUGUAACUCUGAGAUCAGUGAUACCAAUUAUUUUAACAUGAUAUCGUCUCAAAAAGUAAACUUUGGAAAUAUUAGAUCAUUAUAAGCCUCAGUGUAGCUGAGCCUUCUUUUCAGAAAACAUGUUGUAAAAUGCUUUAGGCACACCUACCAUGGAACCCUUACCAUCACAGUCUGCCUUACCCUGCAUUUUGCUUCUGACCUUCCACAUCUGAUCAAAAGCUUGUAUCACAUCUGCUUCGAAUUUCUUCAUGACUGAUUUUAUAGAUGCCAUUAAUCAUCCACUUGAGGUUUAUCCACUUCCCUCUCCCUAUUAUCUCUCUUUAUCUUUCCUACUCCUUUCAGUUACCUCUCGUUAUUACACGUUUUUUUUUUUUCUUCAUUUUUUUUUUCUUUCUUUUUUUCUUUCUGGUCUGUAUUACAAGUGCCACCUGAAAUCGUUAGCCGUUAAUAAGAUCAGCAACAAUAUAGCUUCUAUUACAGAACUGACGCCAAAAGAAAUGUCAUUAUAGCUGCCUUGGUAAAACAAUACAUACAUACUAUAUACUUCAUGCAUAUGUUUGUUGAUCCUUAUAUUAAAGGCGAGGUCACUUCAUCUUUCCACAAUAAGGACAAGUUUAAUUUAAUGGAUCACAGCUGAAAUUAGAACAUAUUAGGAAACUUUAGUGCACGUUAAUCUUUAGGACCACAUUGCUAUUCGUUGGUGGGUUAGAGGAACACAAGCAACAUUUUAUCAUUUUGUACUGAGUGACUCAUGGAAGCAAUUCUGGGGUUCUCCUUUCCAUCCCAUAGACACAGUGACUCAUAUGGGUAUAUGUGGAGGGGGCCUGUUCCUUUUUUCAUGGAUAGAUUGACUCAGGGGAGAUGUGAUUUAGUCACACUCCAUAGCAAAAGGAUGCUGGGACAGUUCAACACAUCACGUCUCAAGUUUAAAAUUAAUUUCACCAUCUGCUCGAAACUUUCAUUCUCUCAUCUCAUGCUGUCCACCACAAGAAAGAACAGUCAUGCACACCCACUGUUUUAUUUCAAGUGUACGUAGAGAUGUUCAAAUAUGUUCUGCAGUGUGUAUGCCUAAAAUCAUUGCUGGCUGCUCUUUGCAUUCCGCAUUUCUCUUCUCCUCUCAAGCCCUGUACUCCUCCAAAUAUAUAUAUGACUUGAAAUAUCCUGGCUGUUUCAAACUAUAUCUGUUCUUCCUUUUUCCUAAAGUAAAAGCCAUUUUCUCAUUAUUUUUCAGGAGUUUUAAAGCAGCUGAAAUCUUGGCUAAUCUCGUGAAGUCUACAGUAUCUGCUAGUUGAUUUACAGUAACCUGUAAAACAAAGUUCAUAUGUUCUCUCUCUUUGUCAUGAAUUUGACAUUUCAGUAAAGUGAUGUAAAUUCAAGCUGUGCAUUUGGGGCAAGCAUACAAUAAAUCCAGAUAUUUGCUAUGCUUGAUUUCUGGUGACAUUGAUUUAUUAAGCAGGAUAAUAUUUAAUGUUAAUUGGUCUCUAUGCGCACAUCUGCUGAGGGACCUCAUGCAGUUAAUUGCAAGCUUUUUAGAACAGACAAAUUGCCUAAAAUUUAUUUCAGUCUCUCUUUCAUGUUAUAAAGUCUGCCCUUGGUAAUUUUUUGACUUGGAGAUUAAUUUCGUCCCAAACUGCAAUUUGUCCAAAUUUGGACCAAUCGGGUGAUCAAAGGAGUUCCUGAACCCUGAGCCAAAAUGUACUAGAACCAUGAACCAAACAAGCCAUGCAAUGGCUAAACAUGUUGGUUAUGAUUCAUGAUUCUGGAUUCCACCUGUGAUAACAAGAAAAAGAGACAAUUGAUGGGACAAAAUUUGAAGUGAGCAAUAAAGGGAAAAAAAAGGAGAAUCAGGAAAAUAAAACCUAUUUUUAUAUAUUAUAUAUUUAAUAAAAACCAUUUUUUAAACUGCUCCUCCUCUUUUUACUUUUAUUGGCUACUUUUUCUCACUUCAUUAGUGAACCAAAUGGUUAAAAAAGGUUCGGUCAGUGUACUGCAAAAUAUAUACAUAAUAUUAUAAAAGUAUAUCUUUUGCAGUACACAGAUUGGCUCAUUUUCGUGCAAUUCUGGCAAGUCUGAUUACUUUUCCUGUUUCAGGUUUUCAUUAAUGAAAUUCUGCCAAGCCCAACCGACAUACGAAAAUGUUUUAUAUCUUCAGAAUAAAAAGAUUGGCCGAACCACAUUUUCUCACCGUGCAUAAAUCGAAGGUGAGGUGGGCAGUUCUGUACAUUUAUUUGGAAUCUUCCACAAUGUCAUAACAUAUUCAUAAAUGUAUGUUCUUUAACCAAACUUCUGGAAUAAAAGGGAAUCAUGACAUGUCACACAUGUCAUGUGUCCAUAAGGGGUUAAAUACUAUUGGGUUUUUUAUGUGUGUCCACAUACACAACUGAUUUUUUUUUUCUAUUCAAAAUUCCUAGACCCAGAAAGUACUCUUGCAUUAGUUUUCCUUCAUGUGCUCUAAAAAUUUGCACAAACUCCUCACUUGCAUUUUUACCUUUAGUUAGUGCCACAUUACCCACCAUGCAGUGCUGGCACAUCGCCAAUUAAAACUGUGCUCAGCAUCCACAGCUAAAGAGGUAAUACAAUCUACAAAAAAUUUAAAUUGUAAAAAGAAUGCUGCACUAGCAUUGUAAGUUCAUAGUUACAUAGUUACAUAGCUGAAAAGAGACUUGCGUCCAUCAAGUUCAGCCUUCCUCAGAAAUGUUGUUGCUGUUGAUCCAAAAGAAGGCAAAAAACCUGGUCUGAAGCACUUCCAAUUUUGCCACAAACUAGGAAAAAAUUCCUUCUUGACCCCAAAAUAGCAGUCAGAUGUCUCCUUGGAUCAAUCAGCUAUUACCCACUAAUUAGAAAUUAUAUCCCUGUAUGUUAUGUUUUUGUAAAUAUUUAUCCAAUUUCAGUUUAAACAUCUGUAUGGACUCUGACAAAACCACCUCUUCAGGCAGAGAAUUCCAUAUACUUAUUGUUCUUACUGUAAAAA